AAAUUGAAGAGUUUGAUCAUGGCUCAGAUUGAACGCUGGCGGCAGGCCUAACACAUGCAAGUCGAGCGGAAACGAGUUAUCUGAACCUUCGGGGAACGAUAGCGGCGUCGAGCGGCGGACGGGUGAGUAAUGCCUAGGAAAUUGCCCUGAUGUGGGGGAUAACCAUUGGAAACGAUGGCUAAUACCGCAUAACGCCUUCGGGCCAAAGAGGGGGACCUUCGGGCCUCUCGCGUCAGGAUAUGCCUAGGUGGGAUUAGCUAGUUGGUGAGGUAAAGGCUCACCAAGGCGACGAUCCCUAGCUGGUCUGAGAGGAUGAUCAGCCACACUGGAACUGAGACACGGUCCAGACUCCUACGGGAGGCAGCAGUGGGGAAUAUUGCACAAUGGGCGCAAGCCUGAUGCAGCCAUGCCGCGUGUGUGAAGAAGGCCUUCGGGUUGUAAAGCACUUUCAGUCGUGAGGAAGACGGUACAGUUAAUAGCUGUAUUGUUUGACGUUAGCGACAGAAGAAGCACCGGCUAACUCCGUGCCAGCAGCCGCGGUAAUACGGAGGGUGCGAGCGUUAAUCGGAAUUACUGGGCGUAAAGCGCAUGCAGGUGGUUUGUUAAGUCAGAUGUGAAAGCCCGGGGCUCAACCUCGGAAUAGCAUUUGAAACUGGCAGACUAGAGUACUGUAGAGGGGGGUAGAAUUUCAGGUGUAGCGGUGAAAUGCGUAGAGAUCUGAAGGAAUACCGGUGGCGAAGGCGGCCCCCUGGACAGAUACUGACACUCAGAUGCGAAAGCGUGGGGAGCAAACAGGAUUAGAUACCCUGGUAGUCCACGCCGUAAACGAUGUCUACUUGGAGGUUGUGGCCUUGAGCCGUGGCUUUCGGAGCUAACGCGUUAAGUAGACCGCCUGGGGAGUACGGUCGCAAGAUUAAAACUCAAAUGAAUUGACGGGGGCCCGCACAAGCGGUGGAGCAUGUGGUUUAAUUCGAUGCAACGCGAAGAACCUUACCUACUCUUGACAUCCAGAGAAGCCAGCGGAGACGCAGGUGUGCCUUCGGGAGCUCUGAGACAGGUGCUGCAUGGCUGUCGUCAGCUCGUGUUGUGAAAUGUUGGGUUAAGUCCCGCAACGAGCGCAACCCUUAUCCUUGUUUGCCAGCGAGUAAUGUCGGGAACUCCAGGGAGACUGCCGGUGAUAAACCGGAGGAAGGUGGGGACGACGUCAAGUCAUCAUGGCCCUUACGAGUAGGGCUACACACGUGCUACAAUGGCGCAUACAGAGGGCAGCCAACUUGCGAAAGUGAGCGAAUCCCAAAAAGUGCGUCGUACUCCGGAUUGGAGUCUGCAACUCGACUCCAUGAAGUCGGAAUCGCUAGUAAUCGUGGAUCAGAAUGCCACGGUGAAUACGUUCCCGGGCCUUGUACACACCGCCCGUCACACCAUGGGAGUGGGCUGCAAAAGAAGUAGGUAGUUUAACCUUCGGGAGGACGCUUACCACUUUGUGGUUCAUGACUGGGGUGAAGUCGUAACAAGGUAGCGCUAGGGGAACCUGGCGCUGGAUCACCUCCUUA
rfam:Vibrio sp. AND4 1103602000603, whole genome shotgun sequence.